UUCUUAUUGAAUGAUAAUUGUCACAUGUCAUGUUCUGAUUGACCAAUUACAACAACAAUACAUUUCAUUUUCUAUGGUUUCGACAUCCAAUAAGAACAUGACACAUGGUAGUCAACAUUC
rfam:Glycine soja cultivar W05 scaffold608_43, whole genome shotgun sequence.